AGAGUUUGAUCAUGGCUCAGCCUGAACGCUGGCGGCGUGGCUAAGACAUGCAAGUCGCACGGAGGUAGCAAUACCUCAGUGGCGAACGGGUGAGUAAUGAAUCGCUAACGUGCCCCGGACUCCGGGAUAGCUACCCGAAAGGGUAGGUAAUACCGGGUAACAUCACCGCCAGGCAUCUGGUGGUGCUCAAAGGUCCGCCGGUCUGGGAGCGGGCGAUUUCGUAUCAGCUAGUUGGUGAGGUAACGGCUCACCAAGGCGACGACGCGUAGCCGGACUGAGAGGUUGGCCGGCCACAUCGGGACUGAGACACUGCCCGGACUCCUACGGGGGGCUGCAGUAACGAAUCUUCCGCAAUGCACGAAAGUGUGACGGAGCGACGCCGCGUGUGGGACGAAGCCCUUCGGGGUGUAAACCACUGUCAGGGAGUACCAAGUUCUGAGGACUCCCAGAGGAAGGCACGGCUAACUCUGUGCCAGCCGCCGCGGUAAUAC
rnacentral:rRNA from 1 species